rnacentral:rRNA from 1 species
GACGAACGCUGGCGGCGUGCUUAACACAUGCAAGUCGAACGGAAAGGCGCUGCUUUUGUUGGGUGCUCGAUUGGCGAACGCGUGAGUAACACGCGAGUAACCUGCCCUUGUCUUUGGGAUAUCUUUAGGAAACUGGGGCGAUUACCCGAUAGAAGCUCCUGCUCCGUGUUGUUGGUUGGUGAAUUUCGGCGGUUGGGGAUGGACUCGCGGGUUAUCAGCUUGUUGGUGGGGUAGUGGCUUACCAAGCCUUUGACGGGUAGGCGGCCUGGGAGCGUUACCGGCCACAUUGGGACUGAGAUACGGCCCAGACUCCUACGGGAGGCAUCAGUGGGGAAUAUUGCACAAUGGGCGGAAGCCAGAUGCAGAGACGCCGCGUGCGGGAUGACGGCCUUCGGGGUGUAAACCGCUUUCGCCUGUGACGAAGCGUGAGUGACGGUAAUGGGUAAAGAAGCACCGGCUAACUACGUG